rnacentral:rRNA from 1 species
GUCCAGACUCCUACGGGAGGCAGCAGUGAGGAAUAUUGGUCAAUGGGCGAGAGCCUGAACCAGCCAAGUAGCGUGCAGGAUGACGGCCCUAUGGGUUGUAAACUGCUUUAUAAGGGAAUAAAGUGAGUCUCGUGAGGCUUUUGCAUGUACCUUAUGAAUAAGGACCGGCUAAUUCCGUGC